CCUACGGGGGGCUGCAGUGGGGAAUAUUGGACAAUGGGCGAAAGCCUGAUCCAGCCAUGCCGCGUGUGUGAAGAAGGCCUUCGGGUUGUAAAGCACUUUCAGUGGGGAAGAAAGCCUUGGGGCUAAUACCCUCGAGGAAGGACAUCACCCACAGAAGAAGCACCGGCUAACUCCGUGCCAGCAGCCGCGGUAAUACGGAGGGUGCGAGCGUUAAUCGGAAUUACUGGGCGUAAAGCGCGCGUAGGCGGUCUGAUAAGCCGGUUGUGAAAGCCCCGGGCUCAACCUGGGAACGGCAUCCGGAACUGUCAGGCUAGAGUGCAGGAGAGGAAGGUAGAAUUCCCGGUGUAGCGGUGAAAUGCGUAGAGAUCGGGAGGAAUACCAGUGGCGAAGGCGGCCUUCUGGACUGACACUGACGCUGAGGUGCGAAAGCGUGGGUAGCAAACAGGAUUAGAUACCCGAGUAGC
rnacentral:rRNA from 1 species